UACAGAGGGUGCAAGCGUUAAUCGGAAUUACUGGGCGUAAAGCGUGCGUAGACGGUUAUGUAAGUCGGGUGUGAAAGCCCCGGGCUCAACCUGGGAAUGCCAUUCGAGACUGCAUAGCUAGGGUGCGGAAGAGGGAAGCGGAAUUUCCGGUGUAGCGGUGAAAUGCGUAGAUAUCGGAAGGAACACCAGUGGCGAAAGCGGCUUCCUGGUCCAGCACCGACGUCAGGCACGAAAGCCGUGGGGAGCAAACAGG
rnacentral:rRNA from 1 species